rnacentral:rRNA from 1 species
ACCCCAAACCGACACAGGUGGUCAGGUAGAGAAUACCAAGGCGCUUGAGAGAACUCGGGUGAAGGAACUAGGCAAAAUGGUGCCGUAACUUCGGGAGAAGGCACGCUGAUAUGUAGGUGAAGCGACUUGCUCGUGGAGCUGAAAUCAGUCGAAGAUACCAGCUGGCUGCAACUGUUUAUUAAAAACACAGCACUGUGCAAACACGAAAGUGGACGUAUACGGUGUGACGCCUGCCCGGUGCCGGAAGGUUAAUUG